GAUGAACGCUGGCGGCGUGCCUAAUACAUGCAAGUCGAGUGAACAGAUAAGGAGCUUGCUCCUUUGAAGUUAGCGGCGGACGGGUGAAUAACACGUGGGUAACCUACCUAUAAGACUGGGAUAACUUCGGGAAACCGGUGCUAAUACCGGAUAACAUUUAGAACCGCAUGGUUCUAAAGUGAAAGAUGGUUUUGCUAUCACUUAUAGAUGGACCCGCGCCGUAUUAGCUAGUUGGUAAGGUAACGGCUUACCAAGGCGACGAUACGUAGCCGACCUGAGAGGGUGAUCGGCCCCACUGGAACGGAGACACGGUCCAGACUGCUACGGGAGGCAGCAGUAGGGAAUCUUCCGCAAUGGGCGAAAGCCUGACGGAGCAACGCCGCGUGAGUGAUGAAGGGUUUCGGCUCGUAAAACUCUGUUAUUAGGGAAGAACAAAUGUGUAAGUAACUGUGCACAUCUUGACGGUACCUAAUCAGAAAGCCACGGCUAACUACGUGCCAGCCGCCGCCGUAA
rnacentral:rRNA from 1 species